rnacentral:rRNA from 1 species
CCUACGCGAGGCAGCAGUAGGGAAUCUUCCACAAUGGGCGAAAGCCUGAUGGAGCAACGCCGCGUGGGUGAAGAAGGUCUUCAGAUCGUAAAACCCUGUUGUUAGAGAAGAAACAGCGUGAGAGUAACUGUUCACGCUUCGACGGUAUCUAACCAGAAAGCCACGGCUAACUACGUGCCAGCAGCCGCGGUAAUACGUAGGUGGCAAGCGUUAUCCGGAUUCAUUGGGCGUAAAGGGAACGCAGGCGGCCGUGUAAGUCUGAUGUGAAAGCCUUCGGCUUAACCGGAGUAGUGCAUUGGAAACUGGGUGACUGGAGUGCAGAAGAGGAAGGUGGAACUCCAGGUGUAGCGGUGAAAUGCGUAGAUAUAAGGAAGAACACCAGAGGCGAAAGCGGCUCUCUGGUCUGUAACUGACGCUGAGGUUCGAAAGCGUGGGGAGCGAACAGGAUUAGAUACCCCUGUAGUC